AAAAACUUAGUUAAAAUAUAACAUUAACUUGUCAUGUUAAAAUUAUCUGGGGGGUAGUUUUUA
rnacentral:tRNA from 1 species